AGUCGAGCGGUAACAUUUCUAGCUUGCUAGAAGCUGACGAGCGGCGGACGGGUGAGUAAUACUUAGGAAUCUACCUAGUAGUGGGGGAUAGCUCGGGGAAACUCGAAUUAAUACCGCAUACGACCUACGGGAGAAAGGGGGCAACUUGUUGCUCUCGCUAUUAGAUGAGCCUAAGUCGGAUUAGCUAGAUGGUGGGGUAAAGGCCUACCAUGGCGACGAUCUGUAGCUGGUCUGAGAGGAUGAUCAGCCACACCGGGACUGAGACACGGCCCGGACUCCUACGGGAGGCAGCAGUGGGGAAUAUUGGACAAUGGGGGAAACCCUGAUCCAGCCAUGCCGCGUGUGUGAAGAAGGCCUUUUGGUUGUAAAGCACUUUAAGCAGUGAAGAAGACUCUUCGGUUAAUACCCGGAGACGAUGACAUUAGCUGCAGAAUAAGCACCGGCUAACUCUGUGCCAGCAGCCGCGGUAAU
rnacentral:rRNA from 1 species